CUUCGAAAUAGAGAUAGCUUUUGUUCUGUUGUACUUACAGCCGCUGCAUGGACAGCCUUUGUAAAGGACUAUCUUCGAAAUGCUAGGACUAUUAAUGUUCAUUAUUCUGCUCUGCUCUGUUUUUGUUUUUUUCUUUCAACUUUUCGACUUUUCGUUGUCAAUUAUGGAGUUUAUGGGAAGGAGUUCUAGACCAAGGUUUACCGGAAAAAAUUGUGUUUGUGAGUUACUUGAAUGUAGGAAUAUAACACAUGAAGUGUGUUCUGUUUCAGGUCUGAUGCAGGCAGAACCUACGAUUGCUUCGGGUCUAAUACGGGUUGGUGCUUUGCAUGCUACCGCGGCUGAGCCUGGUGCGGUACAGACAUAUUCGGCUGCUGUUAAUUCGAAAAGUCCGACUCUGGGGCAAUUCAAAUGUAUAUUGAUGCAUAAUUUUGCUUCGUAUUUAAAUAGAGUUGGGAUUGGAAUAAUGAAUCUAUGACGAACUUGGUCAAUACGUGCUUUCAAAGACAGAAUGGAUUGCCUUUCUUUAUGGAGUGGUUGUUGGUAAAAAAAUUUGGUAUUGCUACACUUCGAAUUAGAGAUAGCUUUUGUUCUGAUGUACUUACAGCCGCUGCAUGGACAGCCUUUGUAAAGGACUAUCUUUGAAAUGUUAGGACUAUUAAUGUUCAUUAUUCUGCUCUGCUCUGCUCUGUUUUUGUUUUUUUUCUUUCAACUUUUUGACUUUUCGUUGUCAAUUAUGGAGUUUAUGGGAAGGAGUGCUAGACCAAGGUUUACCGUAAAAAAUUGUGUUUAUCAGGUCUGUAGGAAUAUAACACAUGGAGUAUGUUAUGUUUCAGGUCUGAUGCAGGCAGAACCUACGAUUGCUUCGGGUCUAAUACGAGUUGGUACUUUGCAUGGCUACUACGGCUGAGCCUGGUGCGGUACAGACAUCUUCGGCUGCUGUUAAUUGGAAAAGUCCAACUCCGGGGCGAUUCAAAUGUAAUAUUGAUGCGUCAUUUGAGUCGUAUUUAAAUGGAGUUGGGAUUAGAAUAUGCAUCCGUGACAAACUUGGUCAAUAUGUGCUUUCAAGGACAGAAUGGAUUGCCCUUCUUUGUGUAGUGGUUGUUGGUAAACGUUUUGGUUGUACCACACUUUGAAAUAGAAAGCGCUUUAGUUCUGAUGUACUUACAGCAACUGCAUGCACUGCUGCCAUUGUAAACGAAUAUCUUUGAACUGUUAGGACUAUUAAUGUUCAUAAUUUUGCUCUGUUUUGUUGUCUCUUUAUUUUUUAUUAACAACUUUUUGAAUUUUUGUUGUCUAUAUUAUGGUG